rnacentral:rRNA from 1 species
UACGAAGGGUGCAAGCGUUGCUCGGAAUUAUUGGGCGUAAAGCGCACGUAGGCGGCUUUUCAAGUCCCAUGUGAAAUCCCACGGCUUAACCGUGGAAGUGCAUGGGAAACUGGAAAGCUUGAGUACUUAAGAGGAUCGCGGAAUUCCCGGUGUAGAGGUGAAAUUCGUAGAUAUCGGGAGGAACACCAGUGGCGAAGGCGGCGAUCUGGGAAGAUACUGACGCUGAGGUGCGAAAGCGUGGGGAGCAAACAGG